UACGUAGGUGGCAAGCGUUGUCCGGAUUUAUUGGGUUUAAAGGGUGCGUAGGCGGUCCCAUAAGUCAGUGCUGAAAUAUCCCGGCUUAACCGGAGGUGGCAUUGAUACUGCGGACUUGAGUGGAGUUGAAGUGGCGGAAUUGACGGUGUAGCGGUGAAUGCGCAGAUAAUCAGUCGGAACACCGGUGGCGAAGGCGGCUUCGUUGGCCGUUACUGACGCUGAGGCGCGAAAGCCAGGGAGCGAACGG
rnacentral:rRNA from 1 species